UUCAUGGAAAGAAAGACUUGAAGGUCCGUUGCGUGUUGCUUUAUGUUCACAAGGUUUCUCUGGCAUUCUGCUAUUUCUGUUUCCUUCUUUUCUAAUGAUGACAAUAACUGACAAAUUUUAGAGUUUUCUUUUUCUUCUUCCGCAUAGAGUUUUUUCAUUAAAUCCUCUUGUAGCUUGUCCAGAUGGUUGUUGAUCUUUGUUCUGAACGUCUUUAUUUCUGUUUCUAUACUCUUUCUACUUUCUUU
rnacentral:lncRNA from 1 species